GCGGUUGUGGUGGAAUUGGUAGACACGCAAGCUUGAGGUGCUUGUGCUCGCAAGAGCGUGGGAGUUCGAGUCUCCCCAUCCGCACCA
rnacentral:tRNA from 3 species